GGGCUUGUGGUUUAGUGGUAUAAUACUCCCUUAGCACCUUUGGAUGUAACAUCUAAUAGCCGCCUGGGAGUGGUCCGGGGUUCGAUUCCCCGCGAGUCCA